UGGGGAAUCUUCCGCAAUGGGCGAAAGCCUGACGGAGCAAUGCCGCGUGAAUGAAGAAGGCCUUCGGGUUGUAAAGUUCUGUUGAGAAGGAAGAAAGGUAUUAGAGCUAAUACCUCUAGUAUUUGACGGUACUUUUUGAGGAAGCCCCGGCUAACUACGUGCCAGCAGCCGCGGUAAUACGUAGGGGGCAAGCGUUGUCCGGAAUCACUGGGCGCAAAGCGCAUGUAGGCGGGAUAUUAAGUCAGGUGUGAAAACUAUGGGCUCAACCUGUAGAUUGCAUCUGAAACUGGUAUUCUUGAGUAUUGGAGAGGAAAGUGGAAUUCCUAGUGUAGCGGUGAAAUGCGUAGAUAUUAGGAGGAACACCAGUGGCGAAGGCGACUUUCUGGCCAAAAACUGACGCUG
rnacentral:rRNA from 1 species